rnacentral:rRNA from 1 species
AUCAGUAGGCGGAGGAAAAGAAACCAACCGGGAUUCCCCCAGUAACGGCGAGUGAAGCGGGAGAAGCCCAGCGCCGAAUCCGCCGCCGCGCAAGGCGGCCGGAACUGUGGCGUGAGGGACCCGGCUAGGCGGUCGGGCGCGACUCGUACGUCCCCUUGAGCGGGUACCCGGAGCGGGUGCCAGGCCUUUGCAGAGUCGCCCCGGACGUCCGCCGCGGUCUCCAGAGUAGGGUCGCUUGGGAAUGCAGCCCGAAGCGGGAGGUAAACUCCUCCUGAGGCUAAAUACUCGGCGCGAGUCCGAUAGGGGACAAGUACCGUGAGGGAACGUUGAAAAGAACUUU